AGGCUUAAGCCCUUUAUUCAGAGGUUCAAAUCCUCUCCCUAGCU
rnacentral:tRNA from 1 species